rnacentral:lncRNA from 1 species
GUUUAUUUGAAUUAUAUUUUAUUUUUAAAGUUUAAUUUUGAAGAUGUUGUUAAAUAUUUUAUUAAGUUCAAUAAUUUAUUUAGCUAUUUUUUCACCCUGUCAUUUUCCACCUUGUCUUUAUCCACCUUGUCACUUUUCACCCUGUCAUUGUUCCCAAUGUUUUUGCCUACCCUGCCAUUGUCCAUCCUGUUAUUGUCUACACUGUCAGUAUCCACAAUGUCAUUGUCCACCUUGUUAUUGUCCACAAUGCUAUUUUCCACCCUGUCAUUGUCUUCACUGUCAUUGUCCACCCUGUCAUUCUACAACCUUGUCAUUGUCCACCCUGUCAUUCUACAACCUUGUCAUUGUCCACCCUGUCAAUAUCCACAAUGUCAUUGUUCACCCUAUCAUUGUCUACCCUGUCGUUGUCCACAAUGUCAUUGUCCACCUUGUUAUUUUAUACCCUGUCAUUGUCCACAAUUUCAUUGUCCACCUUGUUAUUGUCCACUAUAUCAUUUUCCACCCUGUCAUUGUCUACACUGUCAUUGUCCAUCCUAUCAUUGUCCACCCUGUCACUGUCCACCCUGUCAUUUUACAACCUUGUCAUUGUCCACCCUGUCACUGUCCACUAUGUCACUGUCCACCCUGUCAUUGUCCACCCUAUCAUUGUUCACCUUGUCACUAUCCACAAUGUCAUUGUCCACCCUGUUAUUGUCCACCCUGUCACUGUCCACAAUGUCAUUGUCCACCCUGUUAAUUUCCUCCCUGUUAUUGUCCACCCUGUCACUGUCCACAAUGUCAUUGUCCACCCUAUCACUUUCCACCCUGUCAUUGUCCAUCUUGUGACUGUCUACCUUGUCAUUGUCCACCCUAUCAUUGUUCAUCUUGUCACUAUCCACAAUGCCAUUGUUCACCCUGUAAGUUUCCACCCUGUCUUUGUCCACUCUGUCACUAUCCACAAUGUCAAUAUCCACAAUGUCAUUUUCCACCCAGUCAUUGUCUACCCUGUCCCUGUCCACAAUGUCAUUGUCCACCCUGUGCAUGGAUGCAUGCAUGACAGAAAAU